AGAGUUUGAUCCUGGCUCAGAAUGAACGCUGGCGGCGUGGCUAAGACAUGCAAGUCGAACGGAUCAUAUGCUUGGGUAACCGAAAUUAUGAUUAGUGGCGAAAGGGUGCGGAAUGAAUAGGUAACGUACCCCACAGUUUGGGAUAGCGUCUAGGUGCUUGCACCUUUCCGAAAGGGGCGGUAAUACCAAAUAACAUCGUAUGACUCAAGUUGUACGAUCAAAGAUUUAUUGCUGUGGGAGCGGCCUAUUUCCUAUCAGUUAGUUGGUGAGGUAAUGGCUCACCAAGGCGACGACGGGUAGCGGGACUGAGAGGUUGACCCGCCACAUCGGGACUGAGACACUGCCCGGACCUCCACGGAGGGCUGCAGUAACGAAUAUUGCGCAAUGGACGAAAGUCUGACGCAGCAACGCCGCGUGUAGGAUGAAGCCCCUCGGGGUGUAAACUACUGUCAGGGGUUAGAAAGUCCUCGGAUUGAUCAGCCCCAGAGGAAGUCACGGCUAACUUCGUGCCAGCAGCCGCGGUAAGACGAAGGUGGCGAGCGUUAUUCGGAAUUACUGGGCUUAAAGCGCGCGUAGGCGGAGUGGAAAGUGUCUUGUGAAAGCCCCCGGCUCAACCGGGGAAUUGCUUGGCAAACUUCCAUUCUUGAGGCAAGUAGGGGUGUGUGGAACUCUUGGUGGAGCGGUGGAAUGCGUAGAUAUCAAGAGGAACGCCGAAGGUGAAGACAGCACACUGGGCUUGGCCUGACGCUGAGGUGCGAAAGCGUGGGGAGCGAACGGGAUUAGAUACCCCGGUAGUCCACGCCGUAAACGAUGUCUACUAGGUUGUGGGGGUUCUGACACCUUCACAGUCGAAGCAAAAGUGUUAAGUAGACCGCCUGGGGAGUACGGCCGCAAGGCUAAAACUCAAAGGAAUUGACGGGGGCUCACACAAGCGGUGGAGCAUGUGGAUUAAUUCGAAGCAACGCG
rnacentral:rRNA from 1 species